rnacentral:rRNA from 1 species
AUUGAACGCUGGCGGCAUGCUUUACACAUGCAAGUCGAACGGUAACAGGCCGCAAGGUGCUGACGAGUGGCGAACGGGUGAGUAAUGCAUCGGAACGUGCCCAGUCGUGGGGAUAACUACUCGAAAGAGUAGCUAAUACUGCAUACGGACUAUGGAUGAAAGCGGGGGACCGUAAGGCCUCGCGCGAGUGGAGCGGCCGAUGUCAGAUUAGGUAGUUGGUGGGGUAAAGGCUCACCAAGCAAACGAUCUGUAGCUGGUCUGAGAGGACGACCAGCCACACUGGGACUGAGACACGGCCCAGACUCCUACGGGAGGCAGCAGUGGGGAAUUUUGGACAAUGGGCGCAAGCCUGAUCCAGCAAUGCCGCGUGCAGGAAGAAGGCCUUCGGGUUGUAAACUGCUUUUGUACGGAACGAAACGGCUCUGGUUAAUACCCGGGGCUAAUGACGGUACCGUAAGAAUAAGCACCGGCUAACUACGUG